UACGUAGGGUGCAAGCGUUGUCCGGAAUUAUUGGGCGUAAAGAGCUCGUAGGCGGUUUGUCGCGUCUGCUGUGAAAACUCGGGGCUUAACCCCGGGCCUGCAGUGGGUACGGGCAGACUAGAGUGCGGUAGGGGAGACUGGAAUUCCUGGUGUAGCGGUGAAAUGCGCAGAUAUCAGGAGGAACACCGGUGGCGAAGGCGGGUCUCUGGGCCGUAACUGACGCUGAGGAGCGAAAGCCAGGGGAGCAAGCGGG
rnacentral:rRNA from 1 species